GAUGGAUAGAAGAACCCCUGAUGCCGUCGAGCCAAGAAAAGUUUCUAAGUUUAGCUAAUGUUGCCCGUACCGUAAACCGACACAGGUGGGUGGGAUGAGUAUUCUAAGGCGCGUGGAAGAACUCUCUUUAAGGAACUCUGCAAAAUAGCACCGUAUCUUCGGUAUAAGGUGUGGUUAGCUUCGUACUAGGAUUUACUCCGAAAGCGAAGAAACUUACAACAAAGAGUCCCUCCCGACUGUUUACCAAAAACACAGCACUCUGCUAACUCGUAAGAGGAUGUAUAGGGUGUGACGCCUGCCCGGUGCUCGAAGGUUAAUUGAUGGGGUUAGCAUUAGCGAAGCUCUUGAUCGAAGCCCGAGUAAACGGCGGCCGUAACUAUAACGGUCCUAAGGUAGCGAAAUUCCUUGUCGGUUAAAUACCGACCUGCAUGAAUGGCGUAACGAGAUGGGAGCUGUCUCAAAGAGGGAUCCAGUGAAAUUGUAGUGGAGGUGAAAAUUCCUCCUACCCGCGGCAAGACGGAAAGACCCCGUGGACCUUUACUACAGCUUGACACUGCUACUUGGAUAAGAAUGUGCAGGAUAGGUGGGAGGCUUUGAGUAUAUGACGCCAGUUGUAUAUGAGCCAUUGUUGAGAUACCACUCUUUCUUAUUUGGGUAGCUAACCAGCUUGAGUUAUCCUCAAGUGGGACAAUGUCUGGUGGGUAGUUUGACUGGGGCGGUCGCCUCCCAAAUAAUAACGGAGGCUUACAAAGGUUGGCUCAGAACGGUUGGAAAUCGUUCGUAGAGUAUAAAGGUAUAAGCCAGCUUAACUGCAAGACAUACAAGUCAAGCAGAGACGAAAGUCGGUCUUAGUGAUCCGGUGGUUCUGUGUGGAAGGGCCAUCGCUCAAAGGAUAAAAGGUACCCCGGGGAUAACAGGCUGAUCUCCCCCAAGAGCUCACAUCGACGGGGAGGUUUGGCACCUCGAUGUCGGCUCAUCGCAUCCUGGGGCUGGAGCAGGUCCCAAGGGUAUGGCUGUUCGCCAUUUAAAGCGGUACGCGAGCUGGGUUCAGAACGUCGUGAGACAGUUCGGUCCCUAUCUGCCGUGGGCGUAAGAAGAUUGAAGAGAUUUGACCCUAGUACGAGAGGACCGGGUUGAACAAACCACUGGUGUAGCUGUUGUUCUGCCAAGAGCAUCGCAGCGUAGCUAAGUUUGGAAAGGAUAAACGCUGAAAGCAUCUAAGCGUGAAGCCAACUCUAAGAUGAAUCUUCUCUAAGCUCUCUAGAAGACUACUAGUUUGAUAGGCUGGGUGUGUAAUGGAUGAAAGUCCUUUAGCUGACCAGUACUAAUAGAGCGUUUGGCUUAUCUUUAAUAAAGCAU
rnacentral:rRNA from 1 species